rnacentral:rRNA from 1 species
UACGUAGGGGGCUAGCGUUGUCCGGAAUCAUUGGGCGUAAAGAGCGUGUAGGCGGUCCGGUAAGUCCGCUGUGAAAGUCGGGGGCUCAACCCUCGAAUGCCGGUGGAUACUGUCGGGCUAGAGUGCGGAAGAGGCGAGUGGAAUUCCUGGUGUAGCGGUGAAAUGCGCAGAUAUCAGGAGGAACACCUAUUGCGAAGGCAGCUCGCUGGGACGUAACUGACGCUGAGACGCGAAAGCUAGGGGAGCAAACAGG